GUAGGGUGCAAGCGUUAAUCGGAAUUACUGGGCGUAAAGCGUGCGCAGGCGGUUAUGCAAGACAGAUGUGAAACGUCCCCGGGCUCAACCUGGGAACUGCUAUUUGUGACUGCAUGGCUAGAGUACGGUAGAGGGGGAUGGAAUUCCGCGUGUAGCAGUGAAAUGCGUAGAUAUGCGGAGGAACACCGAUGGCGAAGGCAAUCCCCUGGACCUGUACUGACGCUCAUGCACGAAAGCGUGGGGAGCAAGCAGGAUUAGAUACCCUGGUAGUCCACGCCCUAAACGAUGUCAACUGGUUGUUGGGAGGGUUUCUUCUCAGUAACGUAGCUAACGCGUGAAGUUGACCGCCUGGGGAGUACGGCCGCAAGGUUG
rnacentral:rRNA from 1 species